GCUGGGCACGGUGGUGCGUGCCUGUAGUCCCAGCUACUCGGGAGGCUGAGGCAGGAGAAUUGCCUGAACCCAGGAGGUGGAGGUUGCGGUGAGCCGAGAUCGCGCCAUUGCACUCCAGUCUGGGUAACAAGAGCGAAACUCCAUCUCAAAAAAAAAGAAGGAACAGGUUUCCUUGAAGCUUUUUUUUUCGAGAUGGAGUCUCACUGUCUCACCCAGGCUGGAGUGCAGUGAAGUCAUCUUAGCUCACUGCAAACUCCGCCUCCUGGGUUCUAGCAAUUCUCCUUCUA
rnacentral:SRP_RNA from 13 species